UAGAGUUUNNAUCUGGCUCAGGAUGAACGCUGGCGGCGUGCCUAAUACAUGCAAGUCGAGCGAAUGGAUUAAGAGCUUGCUCUUAUGAAGUUAGCGGCGGACGGGUGAGUAACACGUGGGUAACCUGCCCAUAAGACUGGGAUAACUCCGGGAAACCGGGGCUAAUACCGGAUAACAUUUUGAACCGCAUGGUUCGAAAUUGAAAGGCGGCUUCGGCUGUCACUUAUGGAUGGACCCGCGUCGCAUUAGCUAGUUGGUGAGGUAACGGCUCACCAAGGCAACGAUGCGUAGCCGACCUGAGAGGGUGAUCGGCCACACUGGGACUGAGACACGGCCCAGACUCCUACGGGAGGCAGCAGUAGGGAAUCUUCCGCAAUGGACGAAAGUCUGACGGAGCAACGCCGCGUGAGUGAUGAAGGCUUUCGGGUCGUAAAACUCUGUUGUUAGGGAAGAACAAGUGCUAGUUGAAUAAGCNGGCACCUGACGGUACCNNCC
rnacentral:rRNA from 1 species